GCCACACUCCACUGCCGUGGCUCUCCGCCCACCACAGGUCCGCAGCUAGUAAGCGCAAGAACGAGUACGACAACAGUCCACUUCUUCAAACACACUUCUAAUGUCUGCCUCUUAUUUCCUUUCUUCUCCUAUUCUCAAUUUAAUCACAACAAUUAGGCUAAAUAAAUUAAGAUUUUAAAACGGAAUGGCUGCUGUAGCUGCUUUCGCGUCGUCUCCGGCGACGGUUACUUGCUAUCUGCGCGAGUCUCGGAAGUCCAAAACGGCGACGAGUAAGGGGAUUCGUCAAGAAGUGCGGGUUAUAGGGAAUUUCAGUCACUUUGGAGAUGCGGUCCGGAAGGAUUUCGAGUUCUUGAAGGAGGGAAUCGGUAGAGGAAUUGGUUGGGCAAAUGAAACAUUCCGGAUUCCGCAGGUUUUUAAGACAUUAGAUGAUGUUUUUUGGCUAAAGAAUCUUGAGGAUCCUCAAGCUCCUCCGCUGGAGCCUCAGUCUUGGCCUCAACCUUCAUAUCCAGGACUUUCUGGAGUAGAUUUAUUCAUGGCUGAUCUCAAAGCUUUGGAAGCAUAUGCUAGUUAUUUCUACUAUGUAUCUAAGAUUUGGUCCAAGCCGCUUCCUGAAGUCUACAAUCCCCAAGAUGUUACUGACUAUUUCAGUUGCAGGCCUCAUGUAGUGGCCCUUCGACUUCUUGAGGUGUUUUCAGCCUUUGCUUCUGCCACAAUCAAAAUUCGGACCUCCGGGAUCAAAAAGUUUCUAAGAACAAGUUCAGAUAAGGAUAUAAAUGGAAACAUCUCACAGUAUGAUUUUGGUCUGGUCUUAAAAGAAGCAAUGCUAAGCCUGGGUCCCACUUUUAUCAAAGUUGGUCAGUCCCUUUCCACAAGACCAGACAUAAUUGGUACUGAAAUUUCCAAGGCACUUUCUGAGCUGCAUGAUCAAAUCCCUCCUUUUCCUAGGACCAUGGCUAUGAAAAUCAUUGAGGAAGAGUUAGGUUCUCCAGUUGAAUCCUUCUUUAGCUACAUCUCUGAGGAACCUGUAGCUGCAGCAUCAUUUGGUCAGGUGUAUUAUGGCAAUACUCUUGAUGGUUGUAAUGUUGCUGUUAAAGUUCAGCGUCCUAAUCUGCGCCAUGUUGUAGUUCGAGAUAUCUAUAUACUUCGUGUUGGGCUGGGACUGUUGCAAAAGAUUGCAAAGAGAAAAAGUGACCUUCGCCUCUAUGCCGAUGAGCUUGGGAAAGGUUUAGUUGGGGAAUUGGAUUACUGUCUAGAGGCUGCCAAUGCCUCCAAGUUUCUGUUUCAUCUACUAGGAGAACAAUAUUUGCAAAUAGCAUGCACCAUGGGACAUCACCUUGAACAUGACUGGUUAGCUCACACAUAACUAAGUUAAACAGGAUGCUCAUUCAUCCUUUAAGUUUAUGCACAUUCCAAAAGUAUAUCAUCAUUUAAGUCGAAAGAGAGUUCUGACAAUGGAGUGGGUGGUUGGUGAGAAUCCAACUGAUUUACUCUCUCUAUCUACUUGUGAUACUAUUGAUCAUGAUUCUGCAUAUUCGGAAAGGCAUAAAAUUGAAGCAAAAAGGAGACUUCUUGAGCUGGUUAGCAAAGGAGUGGAAUCAGCACUAGUUCAGCUUCUUGAAACAGGCUUAUUGCAUGCUGAUCCCCAUCCAGGAAACUUGCGUUACACAUCAUCAGGAAAAAUAGGGUUCCUGGAUUUUGGUUUACUCUGCCAAAUGGAAAAGAAGCAUCAGUUUGCUAUGCUUGCAUCCAUAGUGCACAUAGUAAAUGGGGAUUGGGCAUCUCUUGUCCGUUCUCUUACUGAGAUGGAUGUCAUAAGGCCAGGGACUAACAUUCGGCGAGUUACAAUGGAACUGGAAGAUUCCUUGGGGGAGGUGGAAUUUAGGGAUGGAAUUCCUGAUGUCAAGUUCACUAAGGUUCUGAGCAAAAUAUGGUCUAUAGCCCUCAAAUAUCACUUCCGCAUGCCGCCAUACUACACACUUGUUCUACGAUCUCUUGCAUCCCUGGAAGGUCUGGCGAUGGCUGCAGAUCCGAACUUUAAGACAUUUGAAGCUGCAUACCCAUAUGUUGUCAGAAAACUACUCACUGAAAAUUCAGCUGAAACAAGGAAAAUUUUACAUUCGGUGGUUUUAAAUAGAAGGAAAGAAUUCCGGUGGGACAGGCUUGCCCUUUUAUUGAAAGUAGGAUCAACUAGUAAAGUUUUGAAUAGAGAAGCAGCAUCAAAGCAUGAAAAUUCCCUUGAUUAUUUAACAAAUAGGUCAUUCUCUGGUGUUUUUGAUGUUGCACACUUGGUCUUGAUGCUUUUACCGGCCAGAGAUGGUGUUGUUCUUAGGAAGCUUCUAAUGACUGCAGAUGGAGCUUCGUUAGUCCGAGCAUUGGUUUCCAAGGAGGCAGUUUUCUUUAGACAGCAACUUUGCAGGACCAUUGCUGACCUAUUAUAUCAAUGGACAGUUCAAACUCUUGAACUAGGCAUUACAGCAACUCAGUAUUGCUCCCAACUAAGAUCGACUAGUGAGUUUGACAACAGAGAGCUAGGUCUACCUUCCCCACUGUCCAUGCCCCUACACGAGUAUCAGUCCAUCUUCAAAGACCGUCGGCUCAAAGUGAUCUUUUCCAGGAUAAUAGAUUCUGCAAGGAAAGAUACAGUGCUGAUGCUAAAAUUCUGCUGGACUUCUUUUAUUAUGGUUGUUGCAGCUUCAGCACUGGCUUUUCAUCGAGUUUUGGUCUCUUUGUCUGAAGUCUACAUCAGUCGUCUGUCACUUGCUUCCAAGAGAGUGGCAAUCGGUGCAUGAAAUCUGUAUUUGACCCUGGAGAACCUCUCUGAAGAAAGAUUAGAUGCUAAUACCCACCUUGACGGUAAUAUUCUGCAGUGGAGAAGAUUAAAGACCUUGGGAUAGUGUACUAAUAUGGAAAUUUCAUAUUUACAACUCGAGUCAGAUUAGAUCGCAUCAGGACUGGACUCUAUCUACAAAGUUUUUACUCCAGCACCUCUAUGACGAGUUUCACAUAUAUGCAUUCCAAAAUUCUUUACAAAGAGCAAUGCGAUAAAUCAAGGAUCUGCGGCAGAGCUUUGGAAAGGUAUAUAUGGAACUGUAAAAAAUGGAACCUAUUUUUGUUCGAAUUAAGUCAAGGCCUUUUAACUUAUAAUUCUGAUAUGGUGCAAGAGGCCAAGAGAUUAUAAAUGCCUGUGACUUGGUCUCACCAUCACUGGGUCUCUUGUUAGCUGUAAAUUUUGAGCUCCGUAGAAAAAUUAACAGAUUAUUUUGAGUCGCCAUCUUAGCACUCCGAUGUAAUGAAUAAUCACAUAGCAUAAAAUUGAUAAUGAAAUUACUUGUUUCUUAGACAUGAAAAGUCCCAUUUCCCUUGUGUGUGAACGAACCAACCUCUAUUUGGAGGGCUUUUUUCUAAAAGGGUGUGGUGUAGAAAAAAAAAUUACCCAAAGGAAUUGAUUUGAGAAAUAUUUAUUAAGAGGGGUGAGCUUACUGACAUGGAGGAGAGACAGCUGGUUGCCAAUCAUAUUAGAGUUCAACAAAUAAAAAAAUUUUAAAAAUAGACAAUCACUGCAGUGGUUAAAAAAAAAAA
rnacentral:misc_RNA from 1 species